rnacentral:rRNA from 1 species
AUACGGAGGGUGCGAGCGUUAAUCGUAAUUACUGGGCGUAAAGCGUACGUAGGCGGUUGGUUAAGUUAGAUGUGAAAGCCCCGGGCUUAACCUGGGAACUGCAUUUAAAACUGGCGAACUAGAGUUGAGUAGAGGGGAGUGGAAUUUCAGGUGUAGCGGUGAAAUGCGUAGAGAUCUGAAGGAACACCAGUGGCGAAGGCGACUCCCUGGACUCGAACUGACGCUGAGGUACGAAAGCGUGGGUAGCAAACGGGAUUAGAAACCCUAGUAGUCC